rnacentral:rRNA from 1 species
AUGAACGCUGGCGGCGUGCCUCAUACAUGCAAGUCGAGCGAACAGACGAGGAGCUUGCUCCUCUGACGUUAGCGGCGGACGGGUGAGUAACACGUGGAUAACCUACCUAUAAGACUGGGAUAACUUCGGGAAACCGGAGCUAAUACCGGAUAAUAUAUUGAACCGCAUGGUUCAAUAGUGAAAGACGGUUUUGCUGUCACUUAUAGAUGGAUCCGCGCCGCAUUAGCUAGUUGGUCAGGUAACGGCUUACCAAGGCAACGAUGCGUAGCCGACCUGAGAGGGUGAUCGGCCACACUGGAACUGAGACACGGUCCAGACUCCUACGGGAGGCAGCAGUAGGGAAUCUUCCGCAAUGGGCGAAAGCCUGACGGAGCAACGCCGCGUGAGUGAUGAAGGUCUUCGGAUCGUAAAACUCUGUUAUUAGGGAAGAACAAAUGUGUAAGUAACUAUGCACGUCUUGACGGUACCUAAUCAGAAAGCCACGGCUAACUACGUG